AAUGAGAGCUGGCCUGAUAUUGUUCUUUGAUUCUGUGAAUGUGUAUGGAAUGCCUACAGUACUGUCUGGUGUCACUUCAGACAAUUUUGCAACGGUUUACUGUAUGUUCUGUCUAUUUGUCUGCCAAACUCUCAAACUUGUUGUCUUUCUUUUUGUCUUCCUUUUUGGGCACCGGUAGGCACAGAGUCAUUCCGGUAGGCACAGAGUCGUUCCUCGAUGGACGUGAUGACCUGGGACCAAAACCGCUUAAUGUGUAUGAGGCUGUGUCUGCAUCGAGGGAAGAACCCAGCACUGAAAUGACACAAAUGAAAGAAGAGUACUUCUGCUCUGCUGGGUCUGCGACACUAAUUAUCCGAGGAGUCCUCAAACAUCAGGAUGUAGGAAGACACAAGUAAAAGGAGAAGAAUGCUGCUCAGCUGGGUCGGCGGUCACACUACUUAUUCAAGAAGCUCUUGGAUAUCAUCGGCAUGUAUAAAGCACAGUCAUUCCGGUAGGCACGGAGUCGUUCCUCGAUGGACGUGAUGACCUGGCACCAAAACCGCUUAAUGUGUAUGAGGCUGUGUCUGCAUCGAGGGAAGAACCCAGCACUGAAAUGUGAGUGUAUGAUCCAAUAAUUGUAAACAUGGGUGCCAG